UACCAGCACCCCGAGUGGUCGGGACGAUUAUUGGGCCUAAAGCAUCCGUAGCCGGUUCUACAAGUCUUCCGUUAAAUCCACCUGCUUAACAGAUGGGCUGCGGAGGAUACUAUAGAGCUAGGAGGCGGGAGAGGCAAGCGGUACUUAGUGGGUAGAGGUAAAAUCCGUUGAUCCAUUGAAGACCACCAGUGGCGAAGGCGGCUUGCCAGAACGCACUCGACGGUGAGGGAUGAAAGCUGGGGGAGCAAACCGG
rnacentral:rRNA from 1 species